ensembl:lncRNA
GAGCGGGGCUCUGGUACCACCCCGCCCUCCAACCGGGGAAAGCACGCUGGGAAACCGACACUGGCUUUGCAUCUGACUUGCUGUUGACCUUGGACCCUCUCGGAUCUGUUUCCUCGUUAGUAAAGUACGGAGAUCAUAACAGUACUAACCUCCAGAAUGAAUGCGUGCUGGCCAAAACCGCUACGACGGAGGAGCCUGGUACGCUCUAGUCCACGGGGUUGCACAGAGUCGGACACAACUGAAGCAACUUGGCGGCAGCAGCUUAGCAGAGCCUGGUGAUGAGAAGGCUGAUCAGAUCUUUAAUGCUGCGGUGGAUCUAAACUUCUGUGAUACUUACGGAGAUGGAAGAUGCUGCCCACGUCUGCUUGGCACUUGCCGGAUCUGUUCACACCUAAGGCUUCCUAACUCACGCACCUGGAACUCUGCCUGAGAGCUUUCUCUGGCUGCAGGAGCAAACUUGGCCUGCACAUGGGGAUGACCAGCAAAGUCAGGGAGUUAAUGCUGCAGGAGUGAACGUCAAGCACUGAUGGAUGAGAGCUGGUGAAUGUAUAUCCCGACUUCCUAACUUCCCUGUGGGCAGCUUUGAGACCUUUCAGUCGUAUGCCUCCUGUUGUUGCCCAGCUGGAGGGAGCCCCAGUUGCCCACAGGAGUGGCCUGCUCCUCAUACCCCUCGAUGUGGCUUCCUUCCCUCCCGAGCCAUGUCCCUGCCCCUUGGUGGUGCUUCCUGGAUCAGCUGCCAUAGAAACUGCGUGCUCGGCCCUGGAGCUUAGUGUCUCCCUGAGUGGUCCUGGCAUGGUGGUCAUCAUCAGCCCUGGAGGCUUUGAGGGGCACAAGCCUGGGUGGCAAAUCUGGAAAACAAAUCUCCCUUCCCCGAAGAUCAAGUCCAAAGGAUAACUAUUCCAGGAGCCAGGGAUAGACGACUGUCUGUCUUAUACCACCUUGGUGCUGGUACCUGGAUCUUAAAAGACUGUUUGAAAUGUAUCCUGAGUGAAACAACCAGGGCUGGGAAUGCUGAGUGCAAGAAUGAAUGAAUGAGCAUUGACCCACGGAUCUCCAUCCACAUCGCUGCUGCCUCCAGGCUUAUGACAAGGAAGGCCUGGCAACACUUAGGGCUGUGGGGAAGGAGUAAGUUGUUUGAACAAGGGAGCCAUGAUUCACAAUCAAAGCAGUAAUAAGAGCCCAGACAUCAUGAGUUCACCUGUCUAGGUCACAAAUUACCUUCACAUCUAAGAUCUCACUUACUAUCCCCAACGACCUGACCAGGAAGGUUUUCUUUUAAUUACUAUGAUUAUUAGUUGUAUCAUCAUUACCCGCAUUUCAUCUUACUGUAGGAUGUAGCCAGUGCCUCCUGAGUCCUGACAGACAUGAAUAAUCAGUCAAGGUGUCCUCACCCACUGAGCCUCAGCUCCUUCUCCAUCUAGCACUGUAGGCAGGGCUACCAAUCAACUGAUGUUGGCAUGAAAGCUGAAACCCAUCUUGCUUCCCUGGCUAGCAGCUUUCCUGACAACAAUAAAUUCUUAUUAAAUUAAAUUGAAAGGCUCAAGCAAGAAGAAGCAAGCUAGGCUUAGGGCCUGUGUCUCCUGAUGUCUCACCCAGUGCAGCGCUCUUGAGUGCAGACAUCAGUUAGAAGGCUGCUUCGUUAAGAACGUUUCCGUCAUUUCUCUAACUUAAUGAGACAGCCCCAGAUACUGGGAUGACAUGUGCACACAAACAGAUGCACACACCCUUUCUCCAAGGCAGACUUCCCUAAAACUUGAAAAAGGAAAAGGAAAAAAAAUCAGGACUUUCCUGGCAGUCCAGCAGUUAAGACUCCUUCCUUCCAAUGCAGGCGGUAUGGGUUCGAUCUCUGGUUGGAGAAAUAAGAUUCCAUAUGUCUUGCAGCCAAAAAAAAAAACAAAACAACCCUAUACCUGUGGUGAUAGUUACACAACUCUGUAAAUAUACCAAAAACAAUUGAAUUGUGUACAUAAAGCAAGCAAAUUGUAUGGUGUAUACAUUAUAACUCAAUAAAGAAAAUUUUUAAAAGUCACUGAGCAGUGUUGGCAAGGAGAUCAGGCAAAAGGGAGUUGGGCCAGUUGCUUCAACCAGGUAAACGGGCUUCCUAAACCACGCAGUGAGGCCAGACACCACAGGGAGGCCCUGCGCGGUAAUGAAUUAAUCACUGAUAACAAAGACUCAAAGUUACUCUUAUCUCUA